UACGGAGGGAGCUAGCGUUGUUCGGAAUUACUGGGCGUAAAGGGCGCGUAGGCGGCUUCUCAAGCGUGUGGUGAAAGUCCGGGGCUCAACCCCGGAUCGGCCGUGCGGACUGGGGAGCUCGAGUUCUGUAGAGGCGGGUGGAAUUCCGGGUGUAGCGGUGGAAUGCGUAGAGAUCCGGAAGAACACCGGUGGCGAAGGCGGUUCUCUGGGCAUUACCUGACGCUGAGGAGCGAAAGUGUGGGGAGCGAACAGG
rnacentral:rRNA from 1 species